ACCCUCCCAAUUGCUACAAACUCUUCGAACACUCAAAUGUACUUUCUUACCUAAACUUUGAAAGUUCAACCCGGCCUAUAUCAAGACAAAGAUGUUCACAAAUACUUUCUGUAAGCUUGGGAUGCGAUUCUGUACCAAAAACAACCAAAUUUUUCAUUGUUCUGUUUUAGGUGAAACAACCUUGUUCAGGUUAAAUAGCUCUUCCAAACUCAUCGAAAAAACCUCUGUUUGGUAUGUCCGGGGAAAAGCCUCGGCAACCACAACUUGGGAUAGUAGGUUAAAAAAAGGCGCUGGAAUGUUUUAGUUUAAAAAAAUAAAACUUUUUUAAACUUAAGAACCAUCCCUACAAUUUUUGAUCAGAUCAGGAGUGGUCUUAAUGACUUCGACUUGAUCGUCCAAAUUUAGCUUCCUUUUGCAGCUAUUUCGCUUGAUUUUCGACAUCAGCAAGUAGAUUUAAUUAAUAUGAUAGGUGUAAUUUGUAACUUCUAUUUUAAGAAGAUUUGAAUAACCAACGUUGAUAUUACGGUCAAUAAGAAGUCCAAACAAGUUCAUAUUGAGGAGGACAGCAUAAGCACACUUAGCUAGGCGUCAAAUUUGUAAAAUUCACGAAAAUAAAUAAUAUCCGUACAAUCUCCAUCUUGGUCUGUGUUCGCCUUUAUGGUAAUCAGGUUUACAAGAUUCACACAUCAAAAAAAUACCACAUUUAAGGUGUUUUUCUUUUUGACAGGAUUACCUGUUUCAAAAGAAGUGGAUAUAUGCUCAAUGUGAAAUGGAGAAAAUGGUCUUGAAUCAUUGUUGAAUAGAUUGGUGCAGAUUGAUUUUAAUACUGUAAACUGUCGUAAACUACUGUUUCAUCCAAUUGUCUUCACCUAUAGAAUUAUUUUUUUUUUUAAAAAAAAAGCAACUAAGGGCUGCAGAACGAUUUUGACAACUCAAGCACUUCAAGCGAUACUUCCUCCUUCUCAACAUUAAAUAGCUUGGCAAAUAUUUGUGAGAAUAAUUUGCCGUAAAGCAGCCUCUCUCAAAGUCUUAUUUAAAGUAAACUUAGGGUGUUCUUAUACGUUAAAGAAUUGUUAAAUCCUACUCUGUUUACUUCUUUGAUGUCAGAACACGAUUUUAAGUCAUUGCUUUUCAUAGAAAUUAAUAUGUUUAUUAUUUAACUUUCAAAACACUUCUGUACCUCAAUUGACUGUGAAAGGCUGAUUUCAUUUGGGACUAAUUUUGUUGUUCUUACACUCACCCAAAUUUCUAAUAAUAUGCCAUUGAAGAGUAAACAACUCCCAAAGUAGAUUAAAAAAAACCAAAAAUUUCUUUGAAUGAAUAAAAAAGUUUAAAAUUCAUCUAAAAUGGGAUACAGGGUCGCGUAUGUUUUGAAAUGCAACUUUCACAAUCAAUA